rnacentral:rRNA from 1 species
GACGAACGCUGGCGGCGUGCUUAACACAUGCAAGUCGAACGGAAAGGCCCUGCUUUUGUGGGGUGCUCGAGUGGCGAACGGGUGAGUAACACGUGAGUAACCUGCCCUUGACUUUGGGAUAACUCCAGGAAACUGGGGCUAAUACCGGAUAGGAGCUCCUGCUGCAUGGUGGGGGUUGGAAAGUUUCGGCGGUUGGGGAUGGACUCGCGGCUUAGGCGCUUGUUUGUGUGGUAGGGGCUUACCAAGGCUUUGAAGGCUAGGCGGCCUGGGAGGGUUGCCAGGCACAUGGGGACUGAGAUAGGGCCCAGACUCCUACGGGAGGCAGCGGGGGGGAGUUUUGCGCAAUGGGCGGAAGCGUGAGGCAGCAACGCCGCGUGCGGGAUGACGGCCUUUGGGUUGUAAACAGCUUUCGCCUGUAACGAAGCGUGAGUGACGGUAAUGGGUAAAGAAGCACCGGCUAACUACGUG